AAUUAUGGUGGGGCGUGAUGGGGAGGCUUCGGCCUGCUGGUUUCACUAACGCCAGUCUGUCAACCCUGUCACGUCCUGCCACCUGU
rfam:Enterobacteria phage P1 mod749::IS5 c1.100 mutant, complete genome.